GCUGUUUGGGGUGGAGAAGGCAAACGCACUCACCUUCAGAACAACAGAUGGCAUCCUCGGCAAGGCAGGUGACUGGGGGAGGGGGUACCUUUGGCUUUAAAACAUCCCGAUUUAAAAUGAAAAUGACCUUGGGAGAAGAGUUGCUUCAACUCAGCUGUCUUAUCAUCAGUGCUUACUCAUUAGGCUGUAUUAUCUAUGGGGUUAAUGGAAACUUGUUUAACUUCACAUGUGAGUUGAAAGCCACCGGAAGCAAGGGAUUUGGCCGUCGGGCCCCUUCUUCAUCUGGACCUCUGAUCCAGAGCUCUGUGUUCUCCUAGGUCAACCUGCACCCUUUCCCAUGACAUCCACACACCUGUCAACAUCCAAGUACUGAAAAACCAUGGGCUUUUUGGCCUCAAUGAGGCCCAGCUUCGGAUCCUGCUUUUACAGAAUGACCCGUGCCUUUUACCAGAGGUCUGUUUGCUGUACAACAAAGGUGAAGCACUAUAUGGCUACUGCAACCUCAAGGAUAAAUGCAACAAGUUCCAUGUGUGCAAAUCCUUUGUCAGAGGGGAAUGCAGGCUUCAGAAAUGCAAACGGUCUCAUCAGCUCAUUCAUGCUACAGCCUUGAAGCUGCUGCAGGACCAAGGACUGAAUAUUCCAAGUGUCGUUAAUUUUCAGAUCAUCUCUACCUACAAGCACAUGAAGCUGCACAAGAUGCUCGAAAAUCAAGAUAAUGCAGCUUCUGCUCAGUGUUCCCAGGGCCCCGAGAAACCAGGAGUACACGUGGCUGGUGCUGCCGAGGCCAGUCCUGUGGCUUCCAUGCCUGCUCAGUCAGCCAAGAAGCCACACGCAGCUAAACCGUAAAGGACGUCCAUGAAAUAAGAUGCUUGUCCAGUUGGAACGUCCGAAAACAAAGCUUCUGUUGAGCUUUAUUUGUAAGUUCCUUCACGUAAUCACUUAUCAGUAGCGGUCAUAGUAAUACCUACCUCACACAUUGUUGUAAAAAUUAAAAAAGACAGAGAAGGGGAGCACAUCAGGUUGGGAGGAUAACAUUGGGGAUGAGUGGUUGGGGAUGUGGUGGGACAUUGAGCAGGCAGAGAGGGGAGAGCGUGAGUAUGGUUGGGGUCAGUCCAGGGCAAACUCUGAAGAUGGUGGGUUCUGCCUAUAAUCCCUGACCUCUCCCCCAGGCUGACGGGAGCUCCGAGAGGCGCAGGUUUGGGCUGACUUGCUCUGUGACCCAGCCAGUGUUUUUCUACACGGUUUACAUAGUGGUCGUCAGAGACUAUGGACACUUUGUACUCUUAUUUUUUCUUCAUGUUUCAUAAGCAUCCUUCCCUAUUCACAUUUUAUCAUGUAUAAUCAUUUUUAUGCACAGAUACGCUAACAUAUAAUUAUUUACUUAACGACUUCCCUUAUUCUGGAUAUUUCAGUUCUUUCUAACAAAUUCUGAAUAGAACUCUUUUCUUAAAAUCCUCACAAUAUUGAAUUUUUAAAUUUCUUCUUUUGCUUAGCUUGUCGGUGCUAAAUGAUACUGUUUUUUGAUUUGCAUUUCUUUAAAUAUAUGCAAGUGAAUAUUUUUCUGUGUGUGUGCUUUCUGUAUGUUUGUGUGUGUGUGUAUGUGUGUGUGCAUUUUGUGCCUGCCCUCCUAGGGCCCUCCUCCAUGCUGAUGUGGGAUGGCCUGUAAUUAGGUUACUUAAUUUUCAUAAAAGGAUAUCAAUCGUACCAUGCUCAUAUGAUAUCCAACUCUCAUGGAUCCAUCCUCAGCCAGUACCACAGAGUUUAUAACUGUUGAGUGCUCACCAAAGAUUUCUACCUCACUGUGUCUACUCUGCAUUUCUUAUUAAAUUUUUCGCCAAAGCCCCCAUUGCUAUAGGGUCGUUCAUCCAUUCCUCAAAGUUGUAUCCAUUCUUUCUGUGGAUCUGGAGGGACCAUCAGAAACCUAUAUACCUUGUCUGUUUUGUGUUGACUUUCCUCCCUUCUCCUGUCCCCACCACCUGGCUUUCUUCAUCCAGUUACACUUCGAUGUUUGGUUUUUUGUUUUCAUCAGAGGGCACCACAGAGAAGCUGCGUUAUGAUAUCUUUUUCUGUGUUUGCUUUUCUGAUAUCCCCAAAUGUUGAUGUGUAAAGUCUUGUUGUUUUUUAAAUUUUUUUUUUUUUUUUUUAAGAUUUUAUUUAUUUGCGAGAGAGAGAAUGAGAGCA